UACGUAGGGUGCGAGCGUUAAUCGGAACUACUGGGCGUAAAGCGUGCGCAGGCGGCGCGUUAAGACAGGUGUGAAAGCCCCGAGCUUAACUUGGGAAUUGCGCUUGUGACUGGCGUGCUGGAGUGUGGCAGAGGGAGGUGGAAUUCCACGUGUAGCAGUGAAAUGCGUAGAGAUGUGGAGGAACACCGAUGGCAAGGCAGCCUCCUGGGCCAGCACUGACGCUCAUGCACGAAAGCGUGGGGAGCAAACAGG
rnacentral:rRNA from 1 species